CACGUAGGGCGCAAGCGUUGUCCGGAAUUAUUGGGCGUAAAGAGCUCGUAGGCGGUCUGUUGCGUCCGCUGUGAAAACUCGGGGCUUAACCCCGAGCCUGCAGUGGAUACGGGCAGACUAGAGGUAGGUAGGGGAGAAUGGAAUUCCCGGUGUAGCGGUGAAAUGCGCAGAUAUCGGGAGGAACACCUGCGGCGAAGGCGGGUUGCUGGGCCGACACUGACGCUGAUGCGCGAAAGCCAGGGGAGCGAACGGG
rnacentral:rRNA from 1 species